UCUAGUGUACAUUCUAGAACCUCGCUAAGAACUCCCGCCCUAAAAUAUGACUACGGACAACAUUUUCCACUUCUUCCCUAGGAAUGGCUCAAAACCCUAAUCCAAGCUAUACAAGUCUCCAAUUUCACUAUAUUGAAUCACUACCACAUCUUCUGCAUAUGAAUGUUAAUUAAAAGAUCUAGGAUUUUUCGCAUGAACAAUCCUUUAGAUCUCAUAAUUUUCUGUUUUUAUAUGCUUAAGAUUUCUUAUUUCUGCGACCUUAAUUUGUGUUUGUAAUCGUUUUCUACUUUACUUGAAUUUGGGGAUUAGUGGAUUUUGAUGAAAAAAUUGAAUAUAUAUUUGGGUUAGCGCUUUGAUUUGAAGGUAUACGAGCUAAUUUAUGGGCGUUGAAGCGCAUGUUGAAGGAGCUUAAGGAUCUGUAGAAGGAUCCUCUAGUUGAAACCAAAUUUGGAAAUGUAAGAAGUCUCCCACAUCAUGCGACACUGGGAUAAGAUUCUAGAAAACAAAUGCUGUCGAGGAAGGACGAGUUUGAAGGCCACAAUGUUCUUUUUUCUUAUCACAUAUGUGUACACUGACGUUAAACAAUAUACAAUAUUUUUUAUUAUGAAAGUAUCUGCUAUCAUUCAACUUGAGAA